GACGAACGCUGGCGGCGUGCCUUAAUACAUGCAAGUCGAACGCACGAAGCUGAAGAGCUUGCUCUUUAACCAAUUGAGUGGCGGACGGGUGAGUAACACGUGGGUAACCUGCCCAUUAGAGGGGGAUAACAUUCGGAAACGGAUGCUAAUACCGCAUAGUUUCAGGGAUCGCAUGAUUCUUGAAGGAAAGGUGGCUUCGGCUACCACUAAUGGAUGGACCCGCGGCGUAUUAGCUAGUUGGUGAGGUAAUGGCUCACCAAGGCAAUGAUACGUAGCCGACCUGAGAGGGUGAUCGGCCACACUGGGACUGAGACACGGCCCAGACUCCUACGGGAGGCAGCAGUAGGGAAUCUUCCGCAAUGGACGAAAGUCUGACGGAGCAACGCCGCGUGAGUGAAGAAGGUUUUCGGAUCGUAAAACUCUGUUGUUAAAGAAGAACAAGGAUGAGAGUAACUGCUCAUCCCCUGACGGUAUUUAACCAGAAAGCCACGGCUAACUACGUGCCAGCAGCCGCGGUAAUACGUAGGUGGCAAGCGUUGUCCGGAUUUAUUGGGCGUAAAGCGAGCGCAGGCGGUUCUUUAAGUCUGAUGUGAAAGCCCCCGGCUCAACCGGGGAGGGUCAUUGGAAACUGGAGAACUUGAGUGCAGAAGAGGAGAGUGGAAUUCCACGUGUAGCGGUGAAAUGCGUAGAUAUGUGGAGGAACACCAGUGGCGAAGGCGACUCUCUGGUCUGUAACUGACGCUGAGGCUCGAAAGCGUGGGGAGCAAACAGG
rnacentral:rRNA from 1 species